UACGAAGGGGGCUAGCGUUGCUCGGAAUCACUGGGCGUAAAGGGUGCGUAGGCGGGUCUUUAAGUCAGGGGUGAAAUCCUGGAGCUCAACUCCAGAACUGCCUUUGAUACUGCCUUGCUCGAGUACUGGAGAGGAGAUUGGAAUUUACGGUGUAGCAGUGAAAUGCGUAGAUAUCGUAAGGAAGACCAGUGGCGAAGGCGAAUCUCUGGACAGUUACUGACACUGAGGCACGAAGGCCAGGGGAGCAAACGGG
rnacentral:rRNA from 1 species